rnacentral:rRNA from 1 species
AUGAACGCUAGCGGCAGGCUUAAUACAUGCAAGUCGAGGGGUAACAUGGGUAGCAAUACCUGAUGACGACCGGCAAACGGGUGCGGAACACGUACGCAACCUUCCCAUAACUGGUGAAUAGCCCUCCGAAAGGAGGAUUAAUACACCGUAACAUAAUGAAGUGGCAUCAUUUUAUUAUUAUAGGCUUCGGCCGGUUUUGGAUGGGCGUGCGCCUGAUUAGGUAGUUGGCGGGGUAACGGCCCACCAAGCCUGCGAUCAGUUACUGGUGUGAGAGCACGACCAGUCACACGGGCACUGAGACACGGGCCCGACUCCUACGGGAGGCAGCAGUAAGGAAUAUUGGUCAAUGGACGAAAGUCUGAACCAGCCAUGCCGCGUGAAGGAUGAAGGUCCUCUGGAUUGUAAACUUCUUUUAUCUGGGACGAAAAAAGGGCUUUCUAGCUCACUUGACGGUACCAGAGGAAUAAGCACCGGCUAACUCCGUGCCAGCAGCCGCGGUAAUACGGAGGGUGCAAGCGUUAUCCGGAUUUACUGGGUUUAAAGGGAGCGUAGGUGGGCAGGUAAGUCAGUGGUGAAAUCUCCGGGCUUAACCCGGAAACUGCCAUUGAUACUAUCUGUCUUGAAUAUCCUGGAGGUAAGCGGAAUAUGUCAUGUAGCGGUGAAAUGCUUAGAUAUGACAUAGAACACCCAUUGCGAAGGCAGCUUACUACGGGAUUAUUGACACUGAGGCUCGAAAGCGUGGGGAUCAAACAGGAUUAGAUACCCUGGUAGUCCACGCCCUAAACGAUGGAUACUCGACAUCAGCGAUACACUGUUGGUGUCUGAGCGAAAGCAUUAAGUAUCCCACCUGGGAAGUACGACCGCAAGGUUGAAACUCAAAGGAAUUGACGGGGAUCCGCACAAGCGGUGGAGCAUGUGGUU